AUUUUUCCCAUUAUUUUUUUCCAUUUUUUCCCAACUUUUGGGGUUUUUUAUUUUUUUGUUUUCUCUUUUUUUUUGGGGAAUUUUUCCCUUCAAUGAACAAAACUUGAGAACGAAUCCAAUAAAAACUUUGGAGCUUUAAAAUUUGGGAAUUUCGGUUUUUGGGAAGGGACCAAAAUUUGGGAUUUGGGAUUUGGGGGGGGGAAUUUGGGGCAACUCCGAGGAAAUUCAGCCCCAAACUGGGAGCACUGGGAGGGUCCCAGUUCCAAACUGGGAGCACUGGGACAGUUCCAGUCCCAAACUGGGAGGGUCCCAGGCCCAUACUGGUGUUACUGGUGUUACUGGGAGGUCACUGGGAGGGUCCCAGUUCCAAACUGGGAGCACUGGGACACUCCCAGUCCCAUACUGGUGUUACUGGGACCC
rnacentral:lncRNA from 1 species